AAGCAAUAAUUAUUACUACAAUAUAAAAUACAAUAAGGCUCACAGUGCAAAAUACCUGAGUAGCACCUGAGAGUAAACUUUUCCCUGCUUUCACUCCAUGCUCCGUCUCAUCCUCUGCUGUUUCAGCCGGGUAGUUUUUUUCGAUGCAUCACUACAAACAACCAACUUAUGAGUCGAUGGAGCAUCGGCAUUGUCCGCCAUCUUGUAAUCACUGCAGUGCAGCUUCUACACAGGGCAAUGGCUAACAGGAUGCUCUCUUGGAAGAUCCGAUCACUGGUGGCAUUCAUGAUAAGAUCAAUGACCAGAUCAGAAGCGCCUUCUUUGUCUAGGUGGCAUUGCACCUCCGCCAAACUCAGCUCACCUCGACCUCCGAUCCCAGAGCUGACAACUAAGGAAGCAGGAUAAACAAGUCAUCUUUUACAGUCAAAUAUUUAUUUAGGAACUCAGGUAACACUUUUCUUUAAGUUUUAUACAUAAGGCUGACCUUACGCUGUCAUUAUCUGUCAUUAGCAUGAGUAAGGUGUCACUAAGGCUGUCAUUGUGUCGUUCGCUAAAUUAUGACACCUUUGGAGCUAUGUUGGCAUUUCUUGGAUUGGGGGAGAGAUCUAGUGGAGUUAAGUAGGGUUAAGGGUUAAGGUUAGGGUUCACUUAACACUUAAUGACAGCCUUCAUGACACCUUAUUCAUGCUAAUGACAGGUGCCAUGUCAAAAUAUUGACAGUGCAAUGUCAGCCUUAUUUUUAAAACUUCAGUAAAGUGUUAACGGCAUUUGUCUGUUAAAAGCUGACAUGAAAUGGUUUCAUAUACAUAUAUUUAAGUAUUUUAUAAGUAUGGGUGGUUAAUUCUGGGGUUACAAGCAGGAAAAAAAAAAUAGUGAUGUAACAAACCGUGGGAGUGUGAAAAAAAUGACAGAUUACAUGUGUCUAAUGUGCUUGCUGCUUUUCCAGGUGUUCAGAGAGGAAUAACCACCAUUAGAGCAGCUCAAGAUGAGUGAGCAAAUGAAUUAAUAACAUCCUAUUCUAGCUAGAGCUAGGCUUUCUGGUUGCCAGGCAACAACACGGCCUGCUUUACGCUGGGGAGAAAGUCAUCACCCUCAGUGGCAGAGCCAAGGUUCAAGUGGCUUAAUGUAAUUCAGGACCAUGGCUGUGAAUAUGAUGGGAUCUUUUCAUCCAUUUUCAAUCAUUACUGGUUAAACAUCAGUGAUAUCUGUGAUGAACGAUUGAAUAUAUGAGUCACAAAUACAGCUGCCUGGUUUUGGUUUACUUGUGUUUUUAUAUUCUUGCUGGCAGGAAUUACAAUUAUAAUUGUAAUCGCAUAAUUUGUAAUCAAUGACAAUUAUGAAUUUGUAAUUGAAAAAAAUAUGUUGCUGUUGUAAUCAUAAUUGAAUUGUAAUUGAGUUCAGAUAA
rnacentral:lncRNA from 1 species